rnacentral:rRNA from 1 species
UACGUAGGGUGCGAGCGUUGUCCGGAAUUAUUGGGCGUAAAGAGCUUGUAGGCGGUUUGUCGCGUCGGAUGUGAAAGCCCGGGGCUUAACUCCGGGUCUGCAUUCGAUACGGGCUAGCUAGAGUGUGGUAGGGGAGAUCGGAAUUCCCGGUGUAGCGGUGAAAUGCGCAGAUAUCGGGAGGAACACCGGUGGCGAAGGCGGUUCUCUGGGCCUGUACUGACGCUGAGGAGCGAAAGCGUGGGGAGCGAACAGG